AACGCUGGCGGCGUGCCUAAUACAUGCAAGUCGAGCGAACAGACGAGGAGCUUGCUCCUCUGACGUUAGCGGCGGACGGGUGAGUAACACGUGGAUAACCUACCUAUAAGACUGGGAUAACUUCGGGAAACCGGAGCUAAUACCGGAUAAUAUAUUGAACCGCAUGGUUCAAUAGUGAAAGACGGUUUUGCUGUCACUUAUAGAUGGAUCCGCGCCGCAUUAGCUAGUUGGUAAGGUAACAGCUUACCAAGGCAACGAUGCGUAGCCGACCUGAGAGGGUGAUCGGCCACACUGGAACUGAGACACGGUCCAGACUCCUACGGGAGGCAGCAGUAGGGAAUCUUCCGCAAUGGGCGAAAGCCUGACGGAGCAACGCCGCGUGAGUGAUGAAGGUCUUCGGAUCGUAAAACUCUGUUAUUAGGGAAGAACAAAUGUGUAAGUAACUAUGCACGUCCUGACGGUACCUAAUCAGAAAGCCACGGCUAACUACGUG
rnacentral:rRNA from 1 species